rnacentral:lncRNA from 1 species
AACCUCGAUAUCCUAAGCUGGAAUUGCCUAUGCCUUCGUCAAGGAGUGAGUGAGUGUGUCUUGUGGUAAAGAAUGUUUAGUUUCUGCCUUAGGUGACCCCCGCAGCACUGCUCUGACGCUACUUGCUUUCAUUGCAGCCCCAGAACCUGAGACUCGACCAUCUGCCCAGACAACAAAGGGUAAAACUGCUUCCUUGAUCCAAGUGGAAGAAUGGCCUGUAUCACUGUUUUGUGCUCAACUUUUGCCCUUAGAUUCGCUUCACUUUAAAAAUACUUAAUUGUUCUUCAGAUAGGUUUUUUUUGCAGCUGUUUUUGCAAGAACAUCUACCCUGUGCCUGGGCUUAGUUGAACAGAGGCUCUGUCUGGGACACCCAUGAAAGCCAUACGGCCUUGGAUGUGACCUAUCAUAUUCAAGGAGAUUUUCCUUAGCUUCUUCUAACCUGUUAUUUCCAGUGGAGACUCCUGGCAGCCACAGGCAUAGUUGUGCUUCCCUUUGGGAGGUGUUCCCCCCCCCCCACCUCCCUUUUCAAAAAACCGCUAUCAUUUGCAGACUUUCUUGAAAAGCGAGACGAUUGUUCCAGAUCUGAAAAUUCUCAUGUGUCACCAGAUAAUCUAUUAGGAGUGGGGAAAAAGAAAAAGGAGAAAGUAACAACAAAGCUAACACUGAUAGCUUCUUUUUCUUCAAAAGAGAAAAAAGAAAACCAAAGCAAAUCCAAACCAACCAAAGAACAGACCCAUCCUGCCGCCAUGCUAGCCGAUUACACACACUUUCCUUCACAACAAAAGCUCCGGCUUGGCGGAUUAAAUCCACAGCUUCCAGAGGCCCAGGCCUCUGCCCUUUUUCCACUUCUUUCUCCAGACUUUAGCUGGCUACAUUUUUAUUCAUUUUGUCUUAAAACCUCACGAAUUGAUUUAAGUAGAAAUCUCAUGUGGAUCAAAUUUCACCACUUAUAAUUUGCUCAAGCUAGAAAGUUAAAAAUUGAGCAUAUCCCACAUUUUAGUCCAUUUUGCAUUCAUUUUUCCUUUGACUUGAUUUCCCCCUUGAUAAUUUUGCAUGUGGUUUCAGGAUCCAGAGCCCGGAGAAAAUGUCAGUAAUAAAGUUGGUUGGUCGUGCAAUUACUGAGGGUCACUCCUUUAGAUUCAUGUUCAUAGAGUAAUAAUAUAUCAGUGUCCACUAGCUUUUUUUUGUUUGGUUGGUUUGGUUUUUGUUUUUGUUUUUUUGGGUUUUUUUUUGGUUUUUUGAGACAGGGUUUCUCUGUAUAGCCCUGGCUGUCCUGGAACUCACUGCCUCCUGAGUGCUGGGAUUAAAGGCGUGCACCACCACGCCCGGCUUCCACUAGCAUUUGUAUUCUUGAUUAUUCUUAAAAAUUUUUAAAUCUUUCACUACCUCUAGCCUAUAAAUAUGUCUCAUUUUUUAAAAAAAAGUUUCCCUUGACAUAAUUUUGAAAUUCAAGAUUUUUUUUUUUGCCCUAUUAUUUACAGGUGGGUUUCUUUAAAGCUAAGUAGAAAAAAUACCUUCUGUUUUAUAAUAUUAAGUCAAAUUUUAAUUUUAAUUCUUAGUGCUUCUAAAAAUCAAUCUUCCUCAUGUCCCUCCUGACAGUAUAGCUUCAAAACUUUCAUGUGACCAUCUCCUCUACACUGCACACUCAUUUUGAGAUUUUUCAAUGUCUGUCUCAAAAGUGGAAGAAUAGGCAAACUCUAAAGAGAAAGGGAAAAAAGGAAGAGAGAGGGAGCGCACAAAAUAACAUUAAAAAAAAACAAACUAAACUCCACAUUUUAUGUAAUGAUAAUGAUAGGAAAUGACAAAGCACCUGGGACAAAAAAAUAAAUUAAGGCAAACAAAGAAAGGCAAAGAGAACAAUCUGCAGGGGGCAAGCCAGUAAGCAGCAUCUCUCCUAGGAGCCUGCCUCUGUCUCUGUUUGAAUUCCUGCUGUGCCUUCCUUGAGUGAUAGGUUGGGACUUGGAAAAGUGAGUCAAAUCUUCACCAAAUUGCUUUUGGUCUACACUUUACACCACAACAGAAAGCCAAAUUAGGACAAGGGUUUUGGUUAAAAAAAAAAAAAAAAAAAAAAAAGAAUGGGGACACUCCUUGGACACCUCUGGAGAAAUCAAAGCAUUCC